UGUCGUGUGGCGCAGUUGGUCAGCGCGGCGGUCUCAUAAAUCGCAGGUCAAGGGUUCAAAUCCCUUCGCGGCAC
rnacentral:tRNA from 1 species